rnacentral:rRNA from 1 species
AUACGGGGGGUGCAAGCGUUAUUCGGAUUUAUUGGGCGUAAAGGGCGCGUAGGCGGCUUGGAAAGUCAGAUGUGAAAGCCCGGGGCUCAACCCCGGAAGUGCAUUUGAAACUAUCAGGCUUGAGUAUGGGAGAGGGAAGUGGAAUUCCUGGUGUAGAGGUGAAAUUCGUAGAUAUCAGGAGGAACACCGGUGGCGAAGGCGACUUCCUGGACCAAUACUGACGCUGAGGCGCGAAGGCGUGGGGAGCAAACAGGAUUAGAUACCCGGGUAGUCC